UUAUUAUUUCUCUUUUAUUGUGUUUAUUGUCUAUGGCAAACCAUUUUAUAUAAAUUCUUUCUAAGACAGUUUUCUACCCACCAGUAAGUUUUUUCUUUUAUGCCUUUUUCUAUAUAUUUUACAGAAUCUGUGCUAUGGCUAUCAUAACUUCAUAUUCAUGUAGGUUAGAACAAAGUGAACAUGUAAUAUUUUAACAUGAAAGAAACAAAAACAGAACAGUUUUUGUAAGUACACCUUUCAAAUACUGCUGUAUAUGUAUGUAUAUUUUUGCCAUCUUAGGUUUGCUUUCAGUGUUAAUUUAAAUGACUAUAGUUUAUGUACCUGUAGGGCAUUUCUCAAAGCCUUUUUGUGUUUAGUUACCAGUAUUUCUGGUAAGAAUAUGGAGCCUUAACAAGAUAUAUAUUUAUGCAAAUAAAUGAAUAUAUGUAAAAAUGCAUGAUAUAUAAUACUGAGGAUAUCCUACAUUCAUCAAACCUUGCUAAUCUGCUUUCUUCUUUGACAGACCUCUGGGCUCACCUUUUUAACUAAUCAGCAGUGACAAUUUUUAGAACUGUGAUUUUGACCAUGUUAACUAAGUUUAAAACAGACUUUUCUAUAGGACAAACUAAGUGGUAAUAUUAUUGUUAAAUAGACCUAGAAAAAUUUAGGCAACAAUAGAAGUUAAAUAAGUAAUAAAAUGUAAACAAUUAUAUUUUGAAAAUUGUCUGUACUUUUUUUUAGAUCAUUAAGUUAAUCUCAAUAUUUUCUGGUGAAUAAUGAAUGUACACAAAUAGUUUGAAGAACUGAUUUUAUCAUUAGCUUAUGUGCAUUUCUGUUUUUCCAAUGUGCAAUGUGAACAUUUAACAAUUUUUUUCACAAAAGCUUGUCAGAAGUUUGAUUUUGGGUCAGCUAGUGUGUUCUAUUAUUCUGUGGUAUAAAUUUCUUUGUGUUUCCGGUAUUUUAAAUUUUUUUAAUUUAUAAAAAUUAUGAAUAAUCCAACAACAAAUGAUAAAGAACAGAUCUAUUUCUAAGGUACAGCCAAAUAUUAAAUUUCUUUGGGUGCAAGUGACAGUUUGAAAGAAAUUCUAAGUUUUACACUGAAGAGUACAUGACUUAAUCUGACAGAUAAACCUUGAGGUUACUUGCCAAUUCUUCAGUGUACAAAUCUGAAAGCUUAACAUAGAUAAAUGAUCUGAGUAUUUUUUCCCCACAAAUUAUUGUGUGGGGAAAAUAGAAUGAGGCAUGAACACAGUAAAUAAAGAGAAUGUGAAUAAUGGCAAGGAGAGAAACACUUCAAAUAUAUUGAUUUAUCUCAACUUCAAGUUCUAAACUAACCAUAUGUUGUGUCACUUUUUUGAUAUUGUCUGUCAUAUCAUUCUUUUUUCAGCAAUAGCCCUCUUAAUUCUAUGUAUGACUAAUUAGUCCCAUAACAGUGCUAGUAUGAUCUCGCAUACAGACUAUUGAAUGUUUCAGUAGAAAGUACAGGUUAUUUAUUGUUUUUAAAUUGGUACAGCCCCCUUUUUUUUUUAUAAGAAAAUGUAUAUGGCUAUUAUAUCUUUUUAUGCCAUUUACCCAUGCUUUUAGUUUUUAGCCAGUAUUUUGUGUGAUUCAUAUGAGGCUUAAUCAACAAUUGAUUGUUACUAUUCUUAAGAAAGGUUGUUACCUUCUGCUUAUGUGUGGACCCAACCUCUUCUUAAUCUUGAUGACAGCUUUUUGUACAUAUAAAGUAACCCAUGACCAUGAUGUACAAAGGAGGAGAAUAUUGUUAUUCAUAGAACUAAUAAGCAACCCUUACCUUUUUGGAUCAAUCCAGAGAUGGUGAUGGAUAAUGAGAGAGAGAGAUUUGUAUAUGUGAACAAUGGCCAAAGUUUUUUGUGUUCUAGUAUUUCACCCAUGUUGGGAUUUUCAAUUGACAAGCUUCACAAGGGAGGAACCAGAUGGAGCUAGAAGAGGCAGAGCUUGUUAGCACUGUAAGAGUGGACUGUCAGUUUUUAGUACCUGGUGAAACCUAAAUUCUGAUGAAGUUUGCAGCUGUUAAAACUGUUCUAUUAUCUGCAAGUCAUUAGGAGCUUCUCGACCACAAAUUCUUUGUUAGAGGUGGUGUUUCUGAUGUUUGCUGGUUACAGCUAGAUGGAAUUUGCUCCCUUGUGAAACAUUAUGGGACAAAACUUUACCAAGUCAGUGAAGCACUGCGGUUGUUGAGACAAAGUGAUUAGUGAGGUCCUAAACAGAGAUAUAGAAAGUUUUGGAAUUUUUGUCUUUUCUGCAAUUUUUCAUGAGGAGAGCACAGUUUGGGAUUUGUGUGAACUAUUCAUGUAUAUGUCAACCAACUUGCAUGGGAUUUGGUACAAAGUUUUAGAUUUUUGUGUUUCUCAUGAUUUUUAUCAAAAUUGGCCAUGCUAGGAUUGUGUGGCAGAGACAUGUUGCAUUCACCUGCAACUGUUGGAAGUAAAAUUUUUUCACUUAUUAGUUUGUGUGUUUGAAAAAGGCCAUUAUCAAACCAAAAAUGUAUGUCACUAAAUACAUCUCUCAACCUUCUAAGUUUACACACAAACAUAACUCUCUGAAUCCAUGAUUUAUUGAACAGAAAAUAUUAAAUUUAUUUUUCAAUUUAUUUCUUGAUAUACAAGUAUAUUGUUGUUUGUAUUUGACAUGUGACUAGCUCCAGGACAGCAGUAAGUACUUUCACAUAGAAAAGUUAAAAGCAUUUUGUAUUAACUGUUAGACCUACCCAGUUGUCUCACUUCUGCAUCAUUGUUAUAUGUAGGUUAAUUGGGAAAGGUUUUUUGGUGGACAGCUCCUGCCUUGUGUUGGUUAAUGAUAAUGUUUUUGGUUUUAUGCUGAGUCCUUUAGGUUUGGAGAGUUGUUUUCUUAUUGCUUUUAUAGUACUGUUGAGUGUGGUUCUGGUGGAGGUCUUCUUAGUUUGUUGGAGUUUUCUUGGUUGAUUUAGGGAUGUCUUAAUUAUUUUUUUUUCUGUUUUCAGUAAAUGGUUCACCAUGGAGCUCAAAAUUUUGUCACCAACAAACAUAAGACAGAACCUGCUCACAAAAAACACUUUCUCUAAAUAUUAAACACACUGUAACAAGAAUCUUGAUUAAUUGGCUAUUAGACACUUAAAAUGUAAAGAACUUAAUAGAAUUUUAGUACUUAUUAUUUUGUAAAUUUUGACCUGUAGGUUUCAGUUUACCACAAUUACAAGAAUGACUGAUGGUUGGGUAGUAUUAAUGUUAAUAUGAAAUUGCUUUUUGUAAUGUGUUUUCUGUUAGUUUACAUAU